rnacentral:rRNA from 1 species
UACGGGGGGAGCAAGCGUUGUUCGGAUUUACUGGGCGUAAAGGGCGCGUAGGCGGCCACUGCAAGUCAGUUGUGAAAUCUCCGGGCUUAACCCGGAAAGGUCAACUGAUACUGCAGGGCUAGAGUGCAGAAGGGGCAACUGGAAUUCUCGGUGUAGCGGUGAAAUGCGCAGAUAUCAGGAAGAACACCCGUGGCGAAAGCGGCUCUCUGGAACGGUACUGACGCUGAGACGCGAAAGCGUGGGGAGCGAACAGG